rnacentral:rRNA from 1 species
UACCAGCACCCCCGAGUGGUCGGGACGUUUUAUUGGGCCUAAAGCAUCCGUAGCCGGUUCUACAAGUCUUCCGUUAAAUCCAACUGCUUAACAGGUGGGCUGCGGAAGAUACUAUAGAGCUAGGAGGCGGGAGAGGCAAGCGGUACUCGAUGGGUAGGGGUAAAAUCCGUUGAUCCAUUGAAGACCACCAGUGGCGAAGGCGGCUUGCCAGAACGCGCUCGACGGUGAGGGAUGAAAGCUGGGGGAGCAAACCGGG